GUAAGAUAUCUUCUUCUCGUAUUCAAGGAAUGCAAUAAAACUUUUUUCUUUUUCCUUAACGAAAUGCCAUUUUGCUGGCCUAAAUCUCUCUCUCUGUGAACAAAAGAAAACCUCAGUUCCUUCAAUUUUCUCAAGAAACAAACAAGAACCCACCAAAACCCAAAAUCUAGAAAUCCCAUCGACAUAGUUCUGUUUGUCUCAUUUUUCAUAAUUACGAAAUCCUUCCUCUCUCUCUCUCUCUCUGCCGCUCCCUUUUUUUUUUUUUUUUUUUUCCAAAAAAUAUAGUAGAACUUGACCAUGCACUUCAGUCUUCUCAUACCCAUUCUUACCUAGAAUACAAAAAACACCACCAAGUUCCACCUCUCUUUUGGGGUUAAUCAUGGGAACGGCAACAUCAUCAAUGGCGGCGAAAUUCGCCUUCUUCCCACCAAACCCACCGUCUUAUACAAUAACAGUGGAUGAAGCAACUGGGAAACUGAGGAUCUCAGAUGUCCAACAGAAAGACGACGUGGACGUGCUGAAGCUUUCCACAAAGAAAGGGAAUGAGAUUGUUGCAAUAUACGUGAAGAACCCAUUAGCUUCAUUAACUGUCCUAUACUCUCAUGGCAACGCUGCUGAUCUUGGUCAGAUGUAUCAUAUCUUCACUGAGCUUAGCCUGCACCUUAAUGUUAAUCUUAUGGGGUACGAUUAUUCUGGGUAUGGACAGUCUUCUGGAAAGCCAAGUGAACAAGAUACAUACGCUGAUAUAGAUGCUGCAUAUAUGUGCCUGGAAGAGACUUAUGGAGUGAAGGAGGAAGAUGUUAUAUUGUAUGGUCAAUCAGUAGGAAGUGGACCUACUCUUGAAUUAGCAACUCGUUUGUCUCAAUUAAGAGCUGUGAUUCUUCACAGUCCUAUCCUCUCAGGCCUUCGUGUCAUGUAUCCUGUCAAGAAAACAUUCUGGUUCGAUAUUUACAAGAAUAUUGAUAAGAUUCCGCUAGUGAAUUGUCCAGUUCUGGUAAUUCAUGGAACAGAAGAUGAAGUUGUGGAUUUUUCCCAUGGUAAGCAGCUAUGGGAGCUUUGCAAAGAGAAGUAUGAGCCCUUGUGGCUUAAAGGAGGAAGCCACUGCAACUUGGAACUCUACCCAGAGUACUUAAGGCAUCUCAGGAAGUUCAUAUCUGCCAUUGAAAAGAUGCCUCCCCAUCUCAGGAAUGGACCUGGACAAAGCACAGAUCAGCCUGAUCAGCCUUCGAACACUGCAGAUUCCAAUAAGGAAACAUCAAGGCCAAGCACAGAUCAGAGAGAUAAGGCCAGGGCUAGUACUGGGCAGAGAGAAAAAUCCAGGCUAAGCACAGACAGCAGAGAUAAAGGAAGAGCAAGCACUGAAAGAAGAGAGAAGUCAAGAAAGAGCAUAGAUCGCUCAGCUAAAGCAAGAAACAGCACUGAUCAGCCAGAAAAAGCAAGAAACAGCUUCGAUCGGUUGGGAGACAUGGUUAGAUCUGUGGGAUUGUGCAAUGUUGAUUGCUUGAAGCCGACAGCUUCUGAGGCCUGAAAUAGAAAAGUUAGUGCUUGAAAGAAAAUAAAGAUCUUGGGGCAGACAAUGGUUUGAUUGGUCAAUUUGGAGUUGGUUUCUAUUCAGCUUUUCUUGUGGCAGAGAAGGUUGUUGUGUCUACAAAGAGCCCAAGGUCAGAUAAGCAAUAUGUCUGGGAAG